GAUGAACGCUGGCGGCGCGCCUAACACAUGCAAGUCGAACGAUUAAAGCACCUUCGGGUGUGUAUAAAGUGGCGAACGGCUGAGUAACACGUGGGCAACCUGCCCCUCUCAUUGGGAUAGCCACGGGAAACCGUGGAUAAUACCGAAUACUUCGAGACCUCCGCAUGAAAGACUCGAGAAAGCUACGGCGGAGAGGGAUGGGCCCGCGGCCUGUUAGCUUGUUGGUGGGGUAACGGCCUACCAAGGCAAUGAUGGGUAGCUGGGUUGAGAGACCGACCAGCCAGAUUGGGACUGAGACACGGCCCAGACUCCUACGGGAGGCAGCAGUGGGGAAUCUUGCACAAUGGGCGAAAGCCUGAUGCAGCGACGCCGCGUGCGGGAUGAAGGCCUUCGGGUUGUAAACCGCUUUCAGCAGGGACGAGGCGAAAGUGACGGUACCUGCAGAAGAAGCCCCGGCUAACUACGUGCCAGCAGCCGCGGUAAUACGUAGGGGGCAAGCGUUAUCCGGAUUCAUUGGGCGUAAAGCGCUCGUAGGCGGUCUGUUAGGUCGGGAGUUAAAUCCGGGGGCUCAACCCCCGUUCGCUCCCGAUACCGGCAGACUUGAGUUUGGUAGGGGAAGGUGGAAUUCCUAGUGUAGCGGUGGAAUGCGCAGAUAUUAGGAAGAACACCAGUGGCGAAGGCGGCCUUCUGGGCCAUAACUGACGCUGAGGAGCGAAAGCUAGGGGAGCAAACAGG
rnacentral:rRNA from 1 species